UGCCAGCCGCCGCGGUAACACGUAAGGUGCGAGCGUUGUUCGGAAUUAUUGGGCGUAAAGGGCUCGUAGGCGGCCUGCCAAGUCCCACGUGAAAGACCAGGGCUCAACCCUGGGAACGCGAGGGAAACUGGUAAGCUGGAAUCUUGGAGGGGGUACUGGAAUUCCUAGUGUAGGGGUGAAGUCUGUUGAUAUUAGGAAGAACGCCGGAGGCGAAGGCGAGUACCUGGCCAAAGAUUGACGCUGAUGAGCGAAAGCGUAGGGAGCGAACAGGAUUAGAUA
rnacentral:rRNA from 1 species